AUUGAACACUGGCGGCAGGCCUAACACAUGCAAGUCGAGCGAGUGGCGGACGGGUGAGUAAUGGCUGGGAAACGGCCUGAUGGAGGGGGAUAACUACUGGAAACGGUAGCUAAUACCGAAUACAAUCAGAUGUGCCCAGAUGGGAUGAGCUAGUAGGUGGGGUAACGGCUCACGUAGGCGACGAUCCCUAGUUGGUCUGCGAGGAUGACCAGCCACCCUGUAACUGAGACACGGUCCAGCCUCCUACGGGACGCAGCAUUGGAGAAUAUUGCACAAUGGGCUCAAGCCUGAUGCAGCCAUGCCGCGUGUGUGAAGGAGGCCUUCGGGUUGUAAAGCACUUUCAGCGGGGAGGCGUUGCCCGCAGAAGAAGCACCGGCUAACUCCGUGCCAGCAGCCGCGGUAAUAC
rnacentral:rRNA from 1 species